GGGGGCGAUCUUGGUUUCGACGGGGGUUGCGAAGCAGAUGCGGGCAUACCGGGGUCUCAGAUUCCCGUAAAACACUGAACGAAAAUAGUCGCAAACGACGAAACUUACGCAUUGGCCGCUUAAUAGGCCUGCCGUUGCAACAGUUGGUCAAUGGGCUGUGUAGCGCAAGCUACCGCAACGUCAUUUUACAUUGACUGGUUUUCUGUCGGGUUACUUGGCAGAAAAUAAGAUUUAAGGUAACUGGCUCCCAAACAGCCUGUCUGUCGGCGGAAUGGGAGCAAGAUUCCAAGUAGGCAAGACUAAGUAUGUAGAACGCUUUGUAGAGGACUUUCGGACGGGGGUUCAAUUCCCCCCGCCUCCACCA
rfam:Neisseria wadsworthii 9715 genomic scaffold SCAFFOLD1, whole genome shotgun sequence.